rnacentral:lncRNA from 1 species
UAACGGGGAGGAAUUAGCGCCCCCACCCCAAACCCCCAGCCCCAAGGCCUGGGCUUACAUAUUUGGAAAGAUUUGAAAUGAAACUUUUUAUGCUCAGAGGAAGGCUGCCGAAUGUCAGUGGAUGAGUUUAGGGUGAGCAAACAUCAGCUCUAUUCUUCAUACCCUGUGUUCUAGAUAACACCAGAAACAAGGUCUCAGACUUAACAGACUCAGCUCUGUUCCAAGGUGAGUCUGAACCAGCAAAAAGCAAACACAUACAGAUAUCCAAACAAGACUGCUCACGCAAGCCAGGGCUUGCUGCCUGUCUCGGGCAACAGCACCAGGGCUCUAGGGAGUUCGUUUAAUAUUUACUGAGACUUCAGAGACCCAGCAGAUGUUUAAUGAAGUCACUAUUUUGGCUCAAACUGCCCUCCCCCAUCUGUCUUGAGAAAAAAAAUUCCAACAGGUAAACAUACAAAUGAAAGAGACCCACAGAAGGGGAUGGGAAAUAAGUAAAAUUCUCUCAAGACUGCUUCAGACCAUGCCAUGUGGUUUCGAUGUGUCAGGAGUCGGGGAUGAGAAGACCUAUGUACCUAGUACUUUAUAACCAAAGCAAUCAAAAGGUCUUGGGGUAGGGAAUGUUGGCCAGUUUUGUUUAGUUUUUGGAUCAUGUUUCCACCAGACUCACAAGCCCGUGUAACCAGCACCCAAAAGAGGAAACCGAGAUGUUCGGAGCUCACUGGUGUGCGAAUGAUAACUACUGACGAAAGAGUCAUCUGCUCAGUCUGUGGUUGGAUGUAGUCACACGAGUCUGCCUCUCCAUCUCUGUCUCCUUAGCAAGGAGGACAUUUGGGUCCUGGUGCAAAGAGUGCUGAGUCAGUGCGACUGAGGGCACGUGUGUCCACCUGUGGUUCUCAGUUGCAGAGAAAGAAGAGCCAAGCUUUGGGGAUUAUCAGCAGGAAGAGUGUUAUAAUAUUGGUGCUGAGCGGUAUGUGCUGUUUCACAACUUGUUCUUAUAUUUUAAUAAACUUCGAAUAAAAGAAUAGAGUU